UAAAAGACAUACCACGUCUUCUUAUCAAUCGAUCAUGAAAUAAGACUAGCAUAAAGCAUGACACUAGGGGUGAGAAAGGGGCGGGUCUCGGGGGAGGGGAAAACCCAGGCGGAUAGUCUCGAUUUUGCCUAGGUUGUAAAAAAAUAAUUUUUUAAUAAAUUAUAUUAGAUAUAGGAUUAUUAAGAUUAAAAAUUUAUUAUAUUUUUAAGCUUAAGUCUUAUAUCCAUUUUAGAUUUACUUUUUGUUUUUACUUUUAAAAAUUAAGGUAAAAAGUUUUAAAUUUUAUGUUUACUUUUUUAAUUUUUUUAAUUAUGCGCUCCAGUCACCAUGUUCGGGGCAGGAACCAAGGCAGGGGAUCAGAGUACCUGACCCGUCUCGUUCCAUGCCCUGGCAAAACGAGACGGAUACUGAGGACGCCCUGCCCACGACCCGCCCCGUUCUCACUGAUAAUGGAGGGAUAUAAAAAUAAUAUUUUUAAAUUAUAUUUUAUAGAACAUGGAAUCACUCAUAGAUUCUCUUGCCUCCACACUCCCAGCAAGUAGGAAUUAGUGAAAGAAAGCAUAAACAUAUAGUGGAUAAAGGUCUAAAGUUAUUAGAAAAAUAUGAACUAUCAUUAAAUCUAUAGCUUUAUGAUAUUGUUGAAAUUUAUCUGAAUCAUCCUUUUAUUAUAUUAUUUUUUAAUCUUUUGGUGACACAUAUCCCCAUGCAUUUGAUGAGUUUUUCUACCUACCUAAUACCUAUCUUAUCUACCUACCUCUAUCCACUCUACUUUUUCUGAAAAUUGUACUUUAUGUACGCAAAUUCUUCCAUACUUUUUUCUUUCCUCUUUUCUACUGCCAUACCACGCAUUUCCCUUCUCACGUACUCGUUCUUUUUUCUUCCAUCUCACCGAUCGUCGGAGUAGCUGCAACCCAUUGCGUUCUUGAUUUUUUUUAUUCAACUUUCACCUCCCUGUCG
rnacentral:lncRNA from 1 species